rnacentral:rRNA from 1 species
CCACGUGUGGGAAGAAGCAUUUCGGUGUGUAAACCACUGUCAUGAGGGAAUAAGGCCCGCCUUCGGGCGGGAUUGAAUGUACCUCGAGAGGAAGCACCGGCAAACUUCGUGCCAGCAGCCGCGGUAAUACGAGGGGUGCAAGCGUUGUUCGGAAUCACUGGGCGUAAAGGGAGCGUAGGCGGAGAUUCAAGCGGAUUGUACAAUCCCGGGGCCCAACCCCGGCUCUGCAGUCCGAACUGGAUCUCUUGGAUAGUUCAGGGGCAAGGCGGAAUUCC